GACGAACGCUGGCGGCGUGCUUAACACAUGCAAGUCGAACGGAAAGGCCCUGCGUUUGUGGGGUGCUCGAGUGGCGAACGGGUGAGUAACACGUGAGUAACCUGCCCUUGACUUUGGGAUAACUUCAGGAAACUGGGGCUAAUACCGGAUAGGAGCUCCUGCUGCAUGGUGGGGGUUGGAAAGAUUCGGCGGUUGGGGAUGGACUCGCGGCUUAUCAGCUUGUUGGUGGGGUAGUGGCUUACCAAGGCUUUGACGGGUAGCCGGCCUGAGAGGUUGACCGGCGACAUUGGGACUGAGAUACGGACCAGAAGCCUACGGGAGGCAGCAGUGGGGAAUAUUGCACAAUGGGCGGAAGCCUGAUGCAGCAACGCCGCGUGCGGGAUGACGUCCUUCGGGUUGUAAACCGAUUUCGCCGGUGACGAAGCGUGAGUGACGGUAAUGGGUAAAGAAGCACCGGCUAACUACGUG
rnacentral:rRNA from 1 species